rnacentral:lncRNA from 1 species
CUAACGCAGUGGUUCAAAAUUUUUUUUUCUUUUCUCUUCCUUUUCCUUUUCUUUUUCCAUUUUCUUUUUUUUCUCUUUCUCUUUCUUUCUUCCUUUCUCUUUCUUUCUCUUUUAUUCUUCUCCCACUUUCCUUUUUCUUUCUUUCUUUCCUUUUCCAGUCACAAGACCACAACCUUAGGACCUCAAACUCCGCUGCUUGUGCCGUUUCUGCUUGUCACCAUCGCUACCACACCAUGCUGCCGCCGCUAGCCACCUCCCAUGAUCAUUUCCAUUUCCGCUAUCUGCUGGCAUCUCUGAUUUUGGUUUGGGGGCAGUGAAGAUCCAUCAUAUUGGCUUCACACUACCAAUCCCACCUAUGCCAUAACUGCUCGAGACCUUCCAUUACGUGCUAAGGGAAGUUUCGUUGUCCCUUUUAUUUCGUAUUCUAUUCUUUAUCUCUUACAUUAAGGACAAUGUAAGAUUUAGGUGUGAAAGAGAGUAGUAUAUUGAUAUUUUAUUGAAAAAGUGCAAGUGUAGGCAUUUUUAUUGAAAUUUUUUGUUUGACUUUGUUGAAUUUUAUCCAAUUUUUGCCCAUCUUUGUGCAUAUUUGUGAUUGUUCCUGAUAAACGAUGGUUAGAUGUUUCAAAUUUUUCUAUUGCUAAAAUUUUACACUCUAAAAUGUUAAGUAUGACAUGGUUAAAUCUAAGAGUAUUUUUUGGUGAAUAUUUGAGAUUUUGUAACCUCUGCACUUUUCGGUUAACUUUUUUAAGUAUUGUAAAUAUUUGUCUAACAUUUUUUUUAUGCAAAUUGGUUCAACUAUUAAUUUUAGUUUUUCAUAUUUAAGAAAUGAAGCGGGUUUGUGUGAUUUUUAAUUUUAAUUUGGUGCUUAUUUAUGAAUAGUAUUCGGCUAUACUUCACUAGUAUCGUUGCCUAGUAACCUGAGAUUUUCACCACAAGUGUCGAUUUUCGCAUCAAAAAAGUGACAAUAACUAUGAGUAUGUGGUCCUUUUGCGACAAAAAAUUGAAUAACCGGGCUCUUUUAUUUGGUAGAUGUCGGAAUUCGAGUCAAAAUGCUUAAAUAGCUAAAGACUAAGCAUUUCCCUUGAAAAAAAAAUCAAGUGUAAAGAUAUUCUAGAAAAUAAAAAAAAUUUACUCGCUAAUAGUGAAACAUGUGGAAGUGUCUGAAUGAAUUGUUAGCCCGCUGAUCCAUGAAUUUUAAUGUUGAGAUUUUGCUUAAUAGUCGAACAAUUUGCUUUUGAAUACUGGUUGAAUAUUUUAUAUUCUUAACUUAGUUAGUCAUAAAUUGGAGGAGUUCUUAAUCUUGAAAACUAAUUGGAGAAAUAUUUCUUGGAAUUUAAUCACUAAUACUUGACAUGUGUUUUAAUUGUAUCUUGGCAAUAAAAGAUCUGAACAAUAGCCAUUGUUUGAAUUUGAUUGUUUGAUUUGUUGUUCUUACACUUGAGGACAAAUAUAAUUUAGAUGUGGGGGAAACUGAUAGGGUGUGAAAUUAUUAUUUAAUUUAUAAUUAUUUUCCUUUUUAUUCUAGCCAAAUAUUGCAUUAAUUGAUUGAUUCUACUUAUAUUUGAUAUAAUGGUGCCAAUUAUAGGAAAAUAAGCAAAAUGUGAUAAAAGGGAUAAUUUUCCAAGAAUUACUGUCAAGUUUAGAGAAGUCGGGAUUUCAUGCGUACGGUGGCAGUUUCCAAAGAAUGGUGAAUUUCAAAUCCGAAACUAUGCCGGAAUAAUUAUUACUUUUUUCUAUUUAGUAGUUGAGUACUAUGAGGAAACUAUUUUUAUUAGGAAAUCUAUUAGAUUAGGAAAGUUCAUAUAAACUAGGAUUCUAGAUUAUUAGGAAGUCUUUUUAGCUUAAGUUUGACGGAAGAGAAGGACAGCAAGAAGGGACAAGAAACAAAACGGCUUCGGCCUCAAAUCUAUUGCUAUUAUUUUGUUUUCCUUCGAUUGUAAUAUUAAAAAAAAAAACGAUUGUUCAUUAUUUUCUUUGGAGAGUCUCUAAUGAUAACGAGAACACUUAAUUCGCGCUGGAUUACUCCAAGGAUGAUGAACUAAUCAUCCACUUCUAGUCAAGGGAACAACUGAAGAUUUGAUUCGACG